AGUGAACGCUGGCGGUAGGCCUAACACAUGCAAGUCGAACGGCACCACAGGAGAGCUUGCUCUCUGGGUGGCGAGUGGCGGACGGGUGAGGAAUACAUCGGAAUCUGCCCAGUCGUGGGGGAUAACGUAGGGAAACUUACGCUAAUACCGCAUACGACCUUCGGGUGAAAGAGGGGGAUCGCAAGACCUCUCGCGAUUGGAUGAGCCGAUGUCGGAUUAGCUAGUUGGCGGGGUAAUGGCCCACCAAGGCGACGAUCCGUAGCUGGUCUGAGAGGAUGAUCAGCCACACUGGAACUGAGACACGGUCCAGACUCCUACGGGAGGCAGCAGUGGGGAAUAUUGGACAAUGGGCGCAAGCCUGAUCCAGCCAUACCGCGUGGGUGAAGAAGGCCUUCGGGUUGUAAAGCCCUUUUGUUGGGAAAGAAAUCUUUCAGGCUAAUACCCUGGGAGGAUGACGGUACCCAAAGAAUAAGCACCGGCUAACUUCGUG
rnacentral:rRNA from 1 species